CUGGACCACAUUAAAAGUUUUAUUGGGCUAAAAUCAAAAACAUCUGACAAGUUUUUGACUUGUCUUUCUCAUGAUUUAAUGUCCCAGCAGAGCAACUGGGAACCUAAUUCUGACCAAAAAGGAGGAAUUGUUUGGCUAAUUGGAAGUGACAGAAACCUUGGGAGAAAGCAACCGCAUACCAAGGAUAAUUAUAAGAAGAAGAGAAGACAUGGAGAAGAGGAGGGAGUAGUUGUGACCGUGGAGGCAGAGAAUGGAGUAAUGUGAUCAUAAAUCAAGGAAUGCUGACAGCCACUAAAGCUGGAGAAGGCCAAGGACAGAUAUUCAAUCCUCCCGUAGAAGUACAGCCCUGCUAAUGCAUUGAUUUUGGACUUCUGGCCUCAGAACUGUAAGAGAAUAAAUUUCUAUUGUUUUAAGCCUUCAGUUUGUGGUAGUUUGUUACAGAAACCCUGUAAAGUUAAUACACAGAGUUCAAAGAGAAUCCGGUAAUAUCUCUAAAAGACUCGUGUAUUAGUCAGGAUUCUCCAGAGAAGCAAAGCCAAUAGAAUGAUACAUGUUGUUAAAGCAAAUUAAAAUGGAGACCAUGCCUGAAGAAUCUCUGUGCAGAGAAACCCAGUUAGGCCUCAUAAGUUAACCUUACUUGAUUUGCAAACAUAAUCUAAAAGUUAACUGGAGCUAUUUCCGGUAAAUGAAUAUAACACAACUUAAGCUCAAUCAGUCAGAAGCAGCUUUAUAAUUAUGUAGCUAGGGACUUUCCAAGAGGAUGACCAAAGAAGGAAAUGAUAUAACUAUAACC
rnacentral:lncRNA from 1 species